UGGUGUCUAGUGCAAAGAUUCAUGGCUGA
rnacentral:piRNA from 1 species